AUCUAUCUCAGAAGUUUAAAUUCUACGGCAAUCCACCAGAGUCCAAGAGUAAACUCUCAGAGAGGGGUGGCAGUCCGAUUUUGUCAGCUUACUCGACUUGGAGAGGGAAGAUAAUGUACAUUUGGACAGUUACAUUUGACCAGAAUGUAUGCGAUGGGCUGCAUCAUGGUUUUGAAGGAAAAGGUUAUACUAUUUAUUACAGACAGCAAGAAAACAUCAUUGAACACCACCAACUAAUAAGACUCCAAAGGAGGGAGAAUAUAUAAUUUAAAGCUGUCAAAAAGCAGAGAUUAGAGUUCAGUGGAUUCCAUGACGGUACUUUGGAUAAUGUUAAUCAGGCAGCAAUUCUCUUCCAAAGGAUCUUAAGUGCUUUUAGAAGAGGCUAAUAAACAAAGGACAGUCACUUACUACAGAAGAGAAGCAGGGGAGAUUAGUGAUAUUCUGAGUGGCAUGACUGCACCUUACAAAGAUGUAAAACAUUAGAAAUUGUGUUUACAUAUACAAUGAUUAUAUGAUAAAUGUAUCUAGUAAUCAAUAUUAAUAUGAUUAAUAUUUUCAAAUAUUUUUUUUUUUUUUACAUUUUACUGAUCAUUAAUGAAAAAAAUAAUUUGUGUUGUAUUUGAAUUUGGAAAUGUAAAGGAAUUUAUUUUAAAAUUUAAACUGAUAUUCUUACAUGUAAACAUGUACUGGCGUGUGUACAUGGUGUAUAUAUUGGACUCUGACAAAAGAUGAUGCUACUUCUUUUUUUGGUGAAAUUAUUAAUCACAAUGAUUUUUGUGCACAUGAUUUUUUUUAAUUUUCCAUAGGGUAUGGUAUCUAUGAAACCUACUCAGCCUUUUUGUUUGGCUAUUUUUUAAAUCAUAGAUAUAUUUUAUUUUCUUGAUAACUGAAAUCCUCAAAAAAUGAUAUUUUGUUGUUUUUGUCAACAUGAAUUAUCUCCCCCUUUCAGCUUGAAAUUAGAAAUAAUACUGUAGAUAUAGAUAUAAUUUGAUUAAUGAAAAUGAAUUAUUGUGUUGUAUUUGGAACUAUAAAGAAAUUGUUUUGAAAUGCUAUUUAUAAUUUAAUAUGCAUAUUAAAUAUAUACAUGACAUUUAUUUUACCGUGACGAAAAAGUGAAUUUUCCAUUUUUUGUACAAAACUCUUCAAUGGCUUUUGGAAAUUAAUAAUCAAUUGCACAAAAAUGUUUUUAAUUUUUAUUUGCCAUAAGGUAUGGUGUCUAGGAAAUAAACCCUGCCUCUCUGUUUGGCUGUAGUGUAUUUUUUCUUUAAAUUUUUUAUCAUAUAGCUGAAUUUAGCUGUAAAUCCUUUUAAAAUUGAAAAUUUCAGUUUUUCUCGACAUGGAUUAUUUCCCCUUUUCAGCUUAAAAUUAAAAACUAU